GAUGAACGCUGGCGGCGUGCCUAAUACAUGCAAGUCGAGCGAACGGACGAGAAGCUUGCUUCUCUGAUGUUAGCGGCGGACGGGUGAGUAACACGUGGAUAACCUACCUAUAAGACUGGGAUAACUUCGGGAAACCGGAGCUAAUACCGGAUAAUAUUUUGAACCGCAUGGUUCAAAAGUGAAAGACGGUCUUGCUGUCACUUAUAGAUGGAUCCGCGCUGCAUUAGCUAGUUGGUAAGGUAACGGCUUACCAAGGCAACGAUGCAUAGCCGACCUGAGAGGGUGAUCGGCCACACUGGAACUGAGACACGGUCCAGACUCCUACGGGAGGCAGCAGUAGGGAAUCUUCCGCAAUGGGCGAAAGCCUGACGGAGCAACGCCGCGUGAGUGAUGAAGGUCUUCGGAUCGUAAAACUCUGUUAUUAGGGAAGAACAUAUGUGUAAGUAACUGUGCACAUCUUGACGGUACCUAAUCAGAAAGCCACGGCUAACUACGUGCCAGCAGCCGCGGUAAUACGUAGGUGGCAAGCGUUAUCCGGAAUUAUUGGGCGUAAAGCGCGCGUAGGCGGUUUCUUAAGUCUGAUGUGAAAGCCCACGGCUCAACCGUGGAGGGUCAUUGGAAACUGGAAAACUUGAGUGCAGAAGAGGAAAGUGGAAUUCCAUGUGUAGCGGUGAAAUGCGCAGAGAUAUGGAGGAACACCAGUGGCGAAGGCGACUUUCUGGUCUGUAACUGACGCUGAUGUGCGAAAGCGUGGGGAUCAAACAGGAUUAGAUACCCUGGUAGUCCACGCCGUAAACGAUGAGUGCUAAGUGUUAGGGGGUUUCCGCCCCUUAGUGCUGCAGCUAACGCAUUAAGCACUCCGCCUGGGGAGUACGACCGCAAGGUUGAAACUCAAAGGAAUUGACGGGGACCCGCACAAGCGGUGGAGCAUGUGGUUUAAUUCGAAGCAACGCGAAGAACCUUACCAAAUCUUGACAUCCUUUGACAACUCUAGAGAUAGAGCUUUCCCCUUCGGGGGACAAAGUGACAGGUGGUGCAUGGUUGUCGUCAGCUCGUGUCGUGAGAUGUUGGGUUAAGUCCCGCAACGAGCGCAACCCUUAAGCUUAGUUGCCAUCAUUAAGUUGGGCACUCUAAGUUGACUGCCGGUGACAAACCGGAGGAAGGUGGGGAUGACGUCAAAUCAUCAUGCCCCUUAUGAUUUGGGCUACACACGUGCUACAAUGGACAAUACAAAGGGCAGCGAAACCGCGAGGUCAAGCAAAUCCCAUAAAGUUGUUCUCAGUUCGGAUUGUAGUCUGCAACUCGACUACAUGAAGCUGGAAUCGCUAGUAAUCGUAGAUCAGCAUGCUACGGUGAAUACGUUCCCGGGUCU
rnacentral:rRNA from 1 species